rnacentral:rRNA from 1 species
GAUGAACGCUAGCUACAGGCUUAACACAUGCAAGUCGAGGGGCAGCAUGGUCUUAGCUUGCUAAGGCCGAUGGCGACCGGCGCACGGGUGAGUAACACGUAUCCAACCUGCCGUCUACUCUUGGACAGCCUUCUGAAAGGAAGAUUAAUACAAGAUGGCAUCAUGAGUCCGCAUGUUCACAUGAUUAAAGGUAUUCCGGUAGACGAUGGGGAUGCGUUCCAUUAGAUAGUAGGCGGGGUAGCGGCCCACCUAGUCGUCGAUGGAUAGGGGUUCUGAGAGGAAGGUCCCCCACAUUGGAACUGAGACACGGUGCAAACUCCUACGGGAGGCAGCAGUGAGGAAUAUUGGUCAAUGGGCGAGAGCCUGAACCAGCCAAGUAGCGUGAAGGAUGACUGCCCUAUGGGUUGUAAACUUCUUUUAUAAAGGAAUAAAGUCGGGUAUGCAUACCCGUUUGCAUGUACUUUAUGAAUAAGGAUCGGCUAACUCCGUGCCAGCCGCCGCAGUAA